AUUGAACGCUGGCGGCAGGCUUAACACAUGCAAGUCGAGCGGGGGCUUCGGUCCUAGCGGCGAACGGGUGAGGAAUGCCUGGGAAUCUGCCUGGUAGUGGGGGAUAACGAUUCGAAAGGGUCGCUAAUACCGCAUACGUCCUACGGGAGAAAGCAGGGGACCUUCGGGCCUUGCGCUAUCAGAUGAGCCCAGGUCGGAUUAGCUAGUAGGUGAGGUAAAGGCUCACCUAGGCGACGAUCCGUAGCUGGUCUGAGAGGAUGAUCAGCCACACUGGAACUGAGACACGGUCCAGACUCCUACGGAGGCAGCAGUGGGGAAUAUUGGACAAUGGGCGAAAGCCUGAUCCAGCCAUGCCGCGUGUGUGAAGAAGGCC
rnacentral:rRNA from 1 species